rnacentral:rRNA from 1 species
AUCCUGCUGAGAGGUGGGAGUGCCCGAAAGGGAGCCGUAACACAGGUGCUGCAUGGCUGUCGUCAGCUCGAGUCGUGAGAUGUUGGGUUAAGUCCCGCAACGAGCGCAACCCUUGUCCCUAGUUGCUACGCAAGAGCACUCUAGGGAGACUGCCGGUGACAAACCGGAGGAAGGUGGGGAUGACGUCAAGUCCUCAUGGCCCUUAUGGGUAGGGCUUCACACGUCAUACAAUGGUCGGAACAGAGGGUUGCCAAGCCGCGAGGUGGAGCCAAUCCCAGAAAACCGAUCGUAGUCCGGAUCGCAGUCUGCAACUCGACUGCGUGAAGCUGGAAUCGCUAGUAAUCGCGGAUCAGCAUGCCGCGGUGAAUACGUUCCCGGGUCUUGUACACACCG